AAGUAUAGGAAUCUACCUUGGGGUGGGGGAUAACGUAGGGAAACUUACGCUAAUACCACAUAACACUUACGAGUCAAAGCGGGGGAUCUUCGGACCUCGCGCCCUUAGAUGAGCCUAUAUUGGAUUAGCUAGUUGGUGAGGUAAAGGCUCACCAAGGCGACGAUCCAUAGCUGGUUUGAGAGGAUGAUCAGCCACAUCGGGACUGAGACACGGCCCGAACUCCUACGGGAGGCAGCAGUGGGGAAUAUUGGACAAUGGGGGCAACCCUGAUCCAGCAAUGCCGCGUGUGUGAAGAAGGCCUUAGGGUUGUAAAGCACUUUCGUUAGUGAAGAAAGGUUUAUGGCUAAUACCUAUAGAUUUGACAUUAGCUAAAGAAGAAGCACCGGCUAACUCCGUGCCAGCAGCCGCGGUAAUACGGAGGGUGCAAGCGUUAUUCGGAAUGACUGGGCGUAAAGCGCACGCAGGCGGUUACUUAAGUCAGAUGUGAAAGCCCUGGGCUUAACCUAGGAAUUGCAUUUGAAACUGGGUAACUAGAGUAUGUCAGAGGAAGGCGGAAUUUCCAGUGUAGCAGUGAAAUGCGUAGAGAUUGGAAGGAACACCGAUGGCGAAGGCAGCCUUCUGGGGCAAUACUGACGCUCAUGUGCGAAAGCGUGGGUAGCAAACAGGAUUAGAUACCCUGGUAGUCCACGCCCUAAACGAUGUCAACUAGGUGUUGGGUACAAUAGUGCUCGGUACCGCAGCUAACGCAUUAAGUUGACCGCCUGGGGAGUACGGCCGCAAGGUUGAAACUCAAAGAAAUUGAC
rnacentral:rRNA from 1 species